UACGAAGGGUGCAAGCGUUACUCGGAAUUACUGGGCGUAAAGCGUGCGUAGGCGGUUCGUUAAGUCUGUCGUGAAAGCCCUGGGCUCAACCUGGGAAUUGCGAUGGAUACUGGCGAGCUAGAGUACGGUAGAGGAUGGUGGAAUUCCCGGUGUAGCGGUGAAAUGCGUAGAGAUCGGGAGGAACACCCGUGGCGAAGGCGGCCCCCUGGGCCGAACCUGACGCUGAGGCGCGAAGGCUAGGGGAGCGAACGGG
rnacentral:rRNA from 1 species